GGGCAGGCCACCUGAAGGCCUGAGAACCAGUGGCUCUGUUCGGAAGCCUAAGAAGCUUGCUUGCAAGGAAUCCAGCAGGCUGAGGGUUCGAAUCCCAGCUGCACCGCCCCCAGCUCUGUGACCUUGGCUAUGCCUCUCUGGCAUGAGAUGAGCAGUUUGUGCUGCUAGGUCUCAGACAGUUCAUUAUAGUGAUGGGAAACCAGCCUAGACCUCAUGGGUCAUGACGAAGGAGUGAACAGUGUGUGAGAGCAUCUGCAACCCUCUCUUCCAGCGAGGUUGAAAUACACAGGGCAUUGUUCUUCAGGACCUUCACUGUACCAGGCAAAGGAACACGAGAACUUUGUGCAUGUCACUGACCUCCCCCAUCCUUGGUAACCAAAACCAAAACCAAUGAUGAUGUGCUGCAGUUUUGAGGACAGACUUAGCAUUGGACAAGGGGCACGUGGCCCCUAAUGGAAGGGUGGAGGCUCCACCAGGGAUAGGCAGUGGGGGUGGGGGUGGGGGGAGAAGUGGCUGGGUUCUGGGUUUCAUCUGAAGAAUUUCCUCUUGGAUAGAUAUAGCGGGUGUGAGAUACCCAAAGGGACAUAAGAGAGUAUGUUCAUUUCCCAUGGCUGAGGUAACAAAGUGCCUUAAAUUGCGUGGCUCAUUACAGAAGUGUAUUCUCUGACAGCUCAGGUGGCUGGAAAUCUGAGAUCCAGGUGUCAGCGAGGACAGUUCCCUCUGGAAGGCCACAUGUUCUGGCCUCUCUGGCUCCUGGGGGUUCUGCCAGUGCUUAGCAUCCCUUGGCUUGUAGAUGCACCACUCCAAUCUCUGUUUCCAUGGUUACCCUGCAACCUUAGAGUUGGUCUCUAUGGUUACAUAGCUCUUCUCCCUACCCAUGAAUCUGGAUCUGAACACAUUUCUCUCUUAAGGACUCUGGUCAUUGGAGAAGGGCCCACCCCAGUCUGGAAUGAACUCAACCUAACUUGGCUAAGGCCAUUUUUCCAUACAAGGUCAUAUAUACUGGUUCCAGGUGGACAUGGAUUUGGCAGGGAUACUGUUCAAAGCAGUCCAUGUGUGUUUGUCUACAUUUUCAUGGAAAUGCAUUUUAAUCAUAUCAGGCUUAAGAACUCUCCCAAGAUGCCCCAUCUUGUCCAGGGGGUUGAGAGGGGACUCUACUGAGCCUUUGCAAGGCUCCUAAAAGAAAGAUUUUUAUUUAUUUAUUUAUUUUUGUAUCAGGGAUUGAACCCAGCAGUGCUUAGCCACGGAGCCACAUCCCUAGCCCCUUUUUAUUUUUUAUUUAUUUUUAUUUUGAGACAGGUUCUCACUAAGUUGAUUAGGGCCUGGCUAAGUUGCUGAGGCUGGCUUUGAACUUGCAAUCCUCCUGCCUCAGCCUCCCAAACCAUUGGGAUUACGGAGGUGUGCCAACACACCUGGCGGAAAAUAUGAUUUUUAUUAGUUUGGGCAAAAUUGUAUCAAUUGGGGCUGGACAUGGAGCUCAGUGGUUACCAUGUUCAUGUCCUGGGUGCCACAUCCAGCACUGAAGAAAAAAUAAAAAUCAAUGGAUACGCUCUUGAUGGAACUUGGUCGUGGGAACUCAGUCUCUCUCAUCAGAGAUAAAUCAGGUCCCUCCUGGGACUGCAGGGUGAUAGGAAUAGAUGCUCCAGUCCCUCCUGUCCUCCAGGCCUGUCAUCCAGGGGUGUGGUGUGGGAGGAGAACUGAUAUAGGAUUGUAAUUCUGCUAAUGAGGACAUGGGGGGGGGGGUGUGGCGGGGAGAGGCUGAUGUGCUAGACAGGGGCCACAGGCCUGCCAGAGCAGGGCCAGGGGCUACUCGGAAGAUAUGCAUUGAACCUCCCCCAUGAUGCCCUACUCUUGCAACCCUGCCCCCUGCCCAGAGAAAAGCUCCCAGAGUGUAUGAACAAACUGGGGGGCACCGUGAAAGACCUGCCUUUCCCAGGGCAGAGAGGGACCUUCAGCAUUCAGCUCUGCCUGCCUAGACAAGGAGACCCCCACCGCCACCCAGGGCCUCGGCAGCCCCGAAUUUUGCAAACCAAACACCUUCCUACUGAAUCCUUUCACAGCUGUGAGCAUCUCAGGUUGGCCAAGUGACCUUUCUUUCGACCGUGUUCAUUUUCCACCAAUGGCUCCCUCUAGCUAACCUUUUUAUGGGGUUGAUAAUUUGUUUUAAAAUCAAUAAUAAAAAUAAAACACCUGUGUGAUUUUGUGCAGA